UACAGAGGUCUCAAGCGUUGUUCGGAUUCAUUGGGCGUAAAGGGUGUGUAGGUGGCGCCGUAAGUCGGGUGUGAAAUCUCGGGGCUUAACUCCGAAACUGCAUUCGAUACUGCCGUGCUUGAGGACUGGAGAGGAGACUGGAAUUUACGGUGUAGCGGUGAAAUGCGUAGAUAUCGUAAGGAAGACCAGUGGCGAAGGCGGGUCUCUGGACAGUUCCUGACACUGAGGCACGAAGGCCAGGGGAGCAAACGGG
rnacentral:rRNA from 1 species